rnacentral:rRNA from 1 species
GACGAACGCUGGCGGCGUGCUUAACACAUGCAAGUCGUGCGGUAAGGCCCUUUCGGGGGUACACGAGCGGCGAACGGGUGAGUAACACGUGAGCAACCUGCCCUUCCCUUUGGGUUAACUGCCGGAAACGGUGGCUAAUACCGGAUAUGACUUCCUCACGCAUGUGGGGUGGUGUAAAGCCUUCGGGUGGUGGGGGAUGGGCUCGAGGUCUAUCAGCUUGUUGGUGGGGUGUUGGCCUACCAAGGCUUCGUCGGGUAGCCGGCCUGUGAGGGUGACCGGCCACACUGGGACUGAGAGACGGCCCAGACUCCUACGGGAGGCAGCAGUGGGAAAUAUUGGACAAUGGGCGAAAGCCUGAUCCAGCAACGCCGCGUGAGGGAUGACGGCCUUCGGGUUGUAAACCUCUUUCGCCUGCGACGAAGCGAGAGUGACGGUAGCAGGUAAAGAAGCACCGGCCAACUACGUG